rnacentral:lncRNA from 1 species
AAGAUGUUGAAGUCCUGACCCCCAGUAUCUGUGAACGUGACCUUAUUUGGAAUUGGGGUCUUUGCAGAUGAUCCAGUUAAGCUGCCAGAGGGAUGCUAACACCACCCACGUGCUGCAGCAGGACUUUGGAAGGGGAACCAGCACUGUAAUGAAGUGUUGGGUUGGCUCAAGGCUUGUCUGGACCACAAACCAUUUUUCAACUAUUGGUGUGUCUUUAAAACCCAAACCAACUGUGAGAGUGGUUUUCUACUUUGAUUCUAGAUGGGAAAAUAUUUUGCUUUUUUGGUGGAUGACAGUGUCAGGUCCCAAAUGGAUUCGGUUUCACUAUCCUCCAGCACGCAUGCAUAUAAUGUGAAACAUACCCACGCUCUGCAAGGGCCACAGCCACCCCACCAUUAGGUUCCAAGGCAAAUAUGCGUCCGCGGGUCCCCGGGAAAGUAAAGGAGGAGUUUCAUGUUGAGGAGCCGAGCCACACAGUCUAGCAGUUCUGAUGUCUCUCCAAGGCUCAGAGAUCCUGGUCUACUAACUUAAGGCCGCUUUUGUCUAAAAUAAUGAUGUACAUUAAAAGCAAAGGGCAAAUGGAACCAUUGAAAAGUACUUUUUGCAUCCAAAACAGCCAACGCUUUGGUGCCUGCUAUGUGUC